UCCUGUAGGGCAUAAAUCGCACUUUUUACAUAAUUGCGAGUUGUCUCUUAAUGAAAAGGAAGUUUGUACAUAUGGCACUUCACUCCAUUUGCCUUCUUUUCUACAAAAGAGGUCUAGCUGUAAGAUAGUGUUAUAAUUUAUACUUCCCUCAGGAGGCCAGGUUUCUCCCCCUUGAAGAGGAUAUCGUGGCCAGGCGGUACUGCAGAAAAUGUAAGUCGUUUCUUUCUUAGUGUCUGAGGGUCAAAUUGGUCCUAAUUCUCCAGAAUACAUCUUAGGGGCGUUUUUGCCUUGGGGGGAACGUUUUCCAUCUGAAAAAAGAACAUAGGAAUGCCAGCACCCCUAGUCAUUUUCCGAUGAGCAUUAGUCCCAGAGCAUCCUCUAUGGUCCUAAUGCUUAUUCUUUUCCAGGGUGUGUAAUCACCUAUGGACCUCUGCUUAUCAGAUUAGUUACGCUCACUGAUGCAGCAGUCCUGCACCUGUUUUCCCGCCUCUCUUGACUGGAAAGAAAGGGAUCCGGGCUGCUGGAUUCUAGUGGUCCUUUACCAGUGUGCCCAACAUUGCCUUUGCGCUCAGGGGUGAGCUCCUUUCCAGGGAGCGUAACCACCCAUCGACUUCUGCUUAUCGGAUUAGUCACGCUCACCGAUGUAGCAGUCCCACACCUGUUUUCCUGCCUCUCUUGACCACAAAGGGAUCCGGGCUGCUGGAUUCUAGUGGUCCUUUACCAGCGUGCCCAAUAUUGCCUGUGUGCUCAGGGGUGAGUCCUAGAGCUGGACUGGACUCCUGAGUAUUUCAUAACAGUCCAACUGCUCCAUCAAGAUGCAUUCCCAUAAACAGUUCUUAUGCAAAUUCAUUUCAGAGAGGGUGUAGCUAACCUUUUGAGUCAGGAUUGAGAUAGUCUUUUCAUUCUGUAAGUACUUUAAGUCUUGGCUGAGUGCAAACAGCUGGCACGUUUGAGGAGGCCAAUUAUCAUGCAAGUUUUAAACUCUGCUUCCACGAGAGUCUCCGUAUCAAUUACUGAAUACCCAUUGGGCUUUUUUCUCAAUCACCUGGGAGGAACCAUCUAUCAUCCUGUCCUGAAGGGAGUUCCUCCUAGGUCUGGUCGACCUUGUAUGGCACCUACUUCCACCAUGAUAACAAAUCUGGGCAACUUGCUAGAAGAUCACAGAUCACAUGGAACUGAGCCAAAAUGUUCUAGCCUCUGA
rnacentral:lncRNA from 1 species